rnacentral:rRNA from 1 species
GAUGAACGCUGGCGGCGUGCCUAAUACAUGCAAGUCGAGCGAACAGAUGAGGAGCUUGCUCCUCUGACGUUAGCGGCGGACGGGUGAGUAACACGUGGAUAACCUACCUAUAAGACUGGGAUAACUUCGGGAAACCGGAGCUAAUACCGGAUAAUAUAUUGAACCGCAUGGUUCAAUGGUGAAAGACGGUUUUGCUGUCACUUAUAGAUGGAUCCGCGCCGCAUUAGCUAGUUGGUAAGGUAACGGCUUACCAAGGCAACGAUGCGUAGCCGACCUGAGAGGGUGAUCGGCCACACUGGAACGGAGACACGGUCCAGACUCCUACGGGAGGCAGCAGUAGGGAAUCUUCCGCAGUGGGCGAAAGCCUGACGGAGCAACGCCGCGUGAGUGAUGGAGGUCUUCGGAUCGUAAAACUCUGUUAUUAGGGAAGAACAAAUGUGUAAGUAACUAUGCACGUCUUGACGGUAACUAAUCAGAAAGCCACGGCUAACUACGUG